rnacentral:tRNA from 1 species
GGUCCGUUGGUCAAGGGGUUAAGACACCGCCUUUUCACGGCGGUAACACGGGU